rnacentral:rRNA from 1 species
UACGAAGGGGGCUAGCGUUGCUCGGAAUUACUGGGCGUAAAGGGCGCGUAGGCGGAUAUUUAAGUUGGGGGUGAAAUCCCGGGGCUCAACCUCGGAAUUGCCUUCAAAACUGGAUAUCUUGAGUUCGGGAGAGGUGAGUGGAACUCCGAGUGUAGAGGUGAAAUUCGUAGAUAUUCGGAAGAACACCAGUGGCGAAGGCGACUCACUGGCCCGAUACUGACGCUGAGGCGCGAAAGCUAGGGGAGCGAACAGG